AGAGUUUGAUCAUGGCUCAGAACGAACGCUGGCGGCAUGCCUAACACAUGCAAGUCGAACGCUUACCGGGCUUCGGUUCGGUGGGAGUGGCGCACGGGUGAGUAGCGCGUGGGAACCUGCCCUGUUGUGGGGGAUAACCGAGGGAAACUUCGGCUAAUACCGCAUGCGCCCCGGGGGAACUCGGGGGAAAGAUUUAUCGCAGCAGGAGGGGCCCGCGUCGGAUUAGCUAGUUGGUGGGGUAACGGCCCACCAAGGCUCCGAUCCGUAGCUGGUCUGAGAGGAUGAUCAGCCACACUGGGACUGAGACACGGCCCAGACUCCUACGGGAGGCAGCAGUGGGGAAUAUUGGACAAUGGGCGCAAGCCUGAUCCAGCAAUGCCGCGUGAGUGAUGAAGGCCUUAGGGUUGUAAAGCUCUUUCGCCCGCGACGAUGAUGACGGUAGCGGGAGAAGAAGCCCCGGCUAACUUCGUGCCAGCAGCCGCGGUAAUACGAAGGGGGCGAGCGUUGUUCGGAUUUACUGGGCGUAAAGGGCGCGUAGGCGGCGCGAGAAGUCAGGCGUGAAAGCCCCGGGCUCAACCUGGGAAUGGCGCUUGGGACUCUCGUGCUUGAGUUCGGGAGAGGAGAGUGGAAUUCCCAGUGUAGAGGUGAAAUUCGUAGAUAUUGGGAAGAACACCGGUGGCGAAGGCGGCUCUCUGGACCGAGACUGACGCUGAGGCGCGAAAGCGUGGGGAGCAAACAGGAUUAGAUACCCUAGUAGUCC
rnacentral:rRNA from 1 species